AAAAUUUUCUAAAUCUGUAUAAAUCUUAGGAAGUUUUUUGGUUCUCUACUAAAUCUUCUUUUUAUUUUUCCCAAAAACAGCUGCUUACGCCCUUUCCUUUGUUUUCACAACUUCAGCCUGCUCGCUGAGACCGGAUAGGAACGUCACGAGUGGUUGCAAUUCCUUGUAGGGUUCGUGACUUUACUGGAGAAGUAAAGUAAAAAAGAACCGAAAAAUAAUCGAAGAAAGCUUCUUGUUAAUGAAAAAGUUGAGCUAUUUGAUUUCAGUGCAAGGUUAUGUGAAACUAUAAAUAAUUGCAUCUGUUUUCUUCUGAUGAUUUGUUAAUCUGUUCUGCUGCCUGAAAUGGUUUUGCUAGAAACACUGACUGGUAAGAAUAAAGCCCCUUGCUCGGUGUACACUCCCCUUACAUCAGGAGAGGGGGCCCAUGCUAAUAAGCGGGCCCUGCUCCCCAUUUGAGGGGGCUGUAAUGUAAGGCUCGAUGUACAUGUAGGAGAGUCCGAUUGGUAAUGUAUAUUACGUAGCUCGUGUUUGAGCCCCAUUUUUGGGGAUAAAUAGAUUUUUGUAAUAGUGAUUUUUUGAAUAAUGUAUGAUUAAAAAGUAGUGAAAACUUUUGAGUUUACGUGUAAAAUUACUUUAUGGAAGAAUGUGUG
rnacentral:lncRNA from 1 species